AACGAACGCUGGCGGCAGGCUUAACACAUGCAAGUCGAGCGCCCCGCAAGGGGAGCGGCAGACGGGUGAGUAACGCGUGGGAAUCUACCCAUCCCUACGGAAUAGCUCCGGGAAACUGGAAUUAAUACCGUAUACGCCCUACGGGGGAAAGAUUUAUCGGGGAUGGAUGAGCCCGCGUUGGAUUAGCUAGUUGGUGGGGUAAAGGCCUACCAAGGCGACGAUCCAUAGCUGGUCUGAGAGGAUGAUCAGCCACAUUGGGACUGAGACACGGCCCAAACUCCUACGGGAGGCAGCAGUGGGGAAUAUUGGACAAUGGGGGCAACCCUGAUCCAGCCAUGCCGCGUGAGUGAUGAAGGCCUUAGGGUUGUAAAGCUCUUUCACCGGGGAAGAUAAUGACGGUACCCGGAGAAGAAGCCCCGGCUAACUUCGUGCCAGCAGCCGCGGUAAUAC
rnacentral:rRNA from 1 species